GCCGCGUACGUGCGGAACGAAUUUCUCGUGAUCGAGUGGGAAGUCAGUGUUAUCAAGGACAGGGAAAUACCCGAGAUCCAUGUACCACCCUCUGACCUUUCGGAUAAUCUUGCAACAUUGCUAGAGGGGAAGAAAGGAACAGACAUGACUUUCAAGGCUCAAGGGGAGAUCGUUGCUGCUCAUAAGAUUUUGCUUGCGAUGAGGUCGGCGGUCUUCGAUGCCAAGUUCUAUAGGCCUAUGGCUACGAGGGACAAAGAGUCACAGGACAUAACUAUCGACGACAUGCAGCCAGCUAUUUUCAAGGUAUUUCUUCACUUCAUCUACACGGAUUCAUUGCCUUACAUAGUUGAUCUUGAUGAUGAUGACAAAAGAGAAAUGGUUAAGCACUUACUUGUGGCUGAUGAUAAGUAUGCGAUUGAAAGGAUGAAGGUGAUACAUGAAGGCAUGCUAUGCUUGAGUCUUGAUGUUCAGACCGUGGCGACAAUAUUAGCUCUAGCUAAGCAGCUUCAUUGCAGUAACCUCAAAGAUGCUUGAAUUGAAUUUAUGCUCUCUUAGAAUAGAAUGAAUGAUGUGCUCGCAAGCCAAGGGUAUCUACAUCUCAAAAGAUCUGUUCCUGACAUCAAUAUUGAUGUGUUUGAGAGAACAGUUAAGUCCCGCAAAAUUUAG
rnacentral:rRNA from 1 species